AAUUGAGAAUAAUACUCCAUANGUUUAGGAGGCUGGAAUGCNCCUAGGCUGAAAACUCCCGGUGCCUUAGGAUGAGUCUGCGGACUAUCAGGUUGUAGUCAGGGUAAAGACCUGACUAGCCUACGACGGAUACGGGUUGUGAGAGCAAUAACCCCGGAGAUGAUAUCUGAGACACGAUAUCAGGCCCUACGGGGCGCAGCAGGCGCGAAAACUUCGCACUGCGCGAAAGCGCGAUGAGGGAAUCCCAAGUGUAUGCACGUAAGUGCAUACUGUUUCUUUGUUUAAAAUGCAUAGAGAGUAAGGGCUGGGUAAGACGGGUGCCAGCCGCCGCGGUAAUACCUGCAGCUCGAGUGGUGAUCACUAUUAUUGGGCCUAAAACGUCCGUAGCCGGUCUUAUAAAUGCCUGGGUAAAUCGUGCCGCUUAACGGUACGAAUUCCGGGUAGACUGUAAGACUUGAGACCGGGUGAGGCUAGAGGUACUCCUGGGGUAGAGGUGAAAUUCUGUAAUCCUAGGGGGACCACCAGUGGCGAAGGCGUCUAGCUAGAACGGGUCUGACGGUGAGGGACGAAGCCCUGGGGCGCAAACCGGAUUAGAUACCCGGGUAGUCCAGGGUGUAAACGCUGCUUGCUUGAUGUUAGUCGGGCUUCGAGCCCGAUUAGUGUCGGAGUGAAGAUGUUAAGCAAGCUGCCUGGGAAGUACGGUCGCAAGGCUGAAACUUAAAGGAAUUGGCGGGGGAGCAC
rnacentral:rRNA from 1 species